GAUGAACGCUAGCUACAGGCUUAACACAUGCAAGUCGAGCGGCAGCGCGUUUUACACUGAAUUCUGGAAGCUUCUAGUUGAAAGAGAAGAUUUAUUCAAGAAUUUUGUGUAAAAUGUCGGCGAGCGGCGGACGGCUGAGUAACGCGUGGGAACGUACCCCAAAGUGAGGGAUAACGCAUCGAAAGGUGUGCUAAUACCGCAUAUGGUCUUCGGAUUAAAGCCUUCGGGCGCUUUGGGAACGGCCUGCGUAAGAUUAGAUAGUUGGUGGGGUAAUGGCCUACCAAGUCGACGAUCUUUAACUGGUUUGAGAGGAUGAUCAGUCAGACUGGAACUGAGACACGGUCCAGACUCCUACGGGAGGCAGCAGUGAGGAAUCUUCCACAAUGGGCGAAAGCCUGAUGGAGCAACGCCGCGUGCAGGAUGAAGGCCUUCGGGUUGUAAACUGCUUUUAUAAGUGAGGAUUAUGGCAGUAACUUAUGAAUAAGGAUCGGCUAACUACGUG
rnacentral:rRNA from 1 species